CCUAAAAACGAUCUAUUACACAUAUAGACCUAUAUUUCUUCAUUCCAAAACGUUCGGGUUCAUUUCAUUACGCUAAGUGUGUGAUUUUAUGUUCCUCUCGCAAGAUUUAAUUGUGUUCUUCGUCGCGUUCAUCGUUGGUGUGUUGGUGGCUUCACUUAGUUUUGGUCCAGACCUUUAUUCUUGAUCUAUUUUCAUCAUACAUCAGUUCAUACAUCAAUCUUAGACUCGUCGACUGUUCGUGCUUCGGAGACGAAUAAGGAUUAGUUGCUUGCCAGGUUAUCAUGUGGAUUAGCAAGCAGGUUAUAAAUGAGCAAGUCAGCUGCUCUCUGAUUCUUUAUUUCCUCGGAGGUUUUACUUUAUUUAAUAAAGUUUAUUCAAUUGAUUUUAUUCUUACAUCGCGGUAGUAAUUAGAAGUCUUAUAUGUCUAAUAUUUGUUAUAAACUUAUUUAAUGAUUAUCGUUGUAUUGGCAUUCUUUAAUUAACUUGGGUUAAUAUGUACUUUUUUCAUGUUUAAGACUCAGAGUUGACUGAGCACUUUCAAGAAAUGUUGAAUAUUAUAAACUGCUAGAAUUAGGCUGAA